rnacentral:rRNA from 1 species
CCAAUAGCGUAUAUUAAAGUUGUUGCAGUUAAAAAGCUCGUAGUUGAAUUUCGGGAUCAGUAUGUUGGUCGUGCUUCGGUACGUACUGUCAUUACUGGUUUCUACCUUCUGAAGAACCUUGAUGUCAUUAAUUUGGUGUCUUGGGGAAUCAGGACUGUUACUUUGAAAAAAUUAGAGUGUUUAAAGCAGGCAUACGCUUG